UGGUGCUGUUCAAGCGGGGGGAACCUGCUUUGUGCAGCCAGACCCAGCUCUGCUGUGGGAGGAAGGAGGGGAGAGGAAACAGGAAUAUUCUACGUGGUGGCAAAGCUCCUGCGUGAGCAGGGACCAGGAGCUCCGUAGCACUGAGCCAGCACCGAGGUUGCAGAACUCCAAGUGUCAAUGAGUUGCUUUUUGGUUUAUUUUGGCUAUCUUUUGACUUCCAAGUUCAUUCCUGAUGUGCAGGAGCGAGAACAGAGGCGCUGGGUCGGAGGCAGAGCGCGCUGAACCAAGCAGGGCUUUGCUUUCUCCCUGUUCUCUCUCCGCGCGCUGCCAGCUCCGCGCUGUGGUGGAGCUUUUGUUGUUGUUGUUCUGGCUUUUCCCUUCCCAAACCCAUCCAAGUUGGAAGGAAAAGUCGUGUUCCAAGCACUGACUCCUCUUAGGAAGCCGAUGCCUAUUCAUUGUCUUCCCAAACUGGCCGCUGGAGGAGCGCACGGACCUGCCCGUGCCCCCCACUUGUGGGUGCAGUUGAGGGGGGCUCAUCCCUGCUGCUGCUCUCCGGAUGCCCUCAGGGGUAGCGGUGACCCCACGGGUGAGCUCCUGCCCCUCUGUCGCACCCCAUGCAAAGGAUGGACACCCCACAGCUCCAUCCCUCGCUCUGGGGUGGCAGCGGGGGCCGGAGCUGCCUUUGGGAUCCCACUGACCACCCCGGUGAGGUUGGAGCCCUCCAUCUCCAGUGGCUUCACUGGUCCCAGCAGGACUCUCUGAGUGGGGGGACCGGGCAGGGCUGGGGGGGCCGCUCUCCCCUCACAGCACCUCCUCUGCUGCCUUUUCCCCUUUCUCGUUUGUGUUUUCCCUUUUUAAAGGGUCUCUGUACAAAGCAGACAAAAGGAUUGAUCGAGGGGGGGGGUUAAAAGGCUUUAGAAUGUGGUGCAGGGUCCAGCCAAGCCCUGAGGUGCCCCUCGCCCUCCUCUCCCCCUCCACACACACCAGUUUAGGGUUCAAAGCCUCUUCCUGACCCUCCCUGUGUCCCACUCGAGCCUGAAGGCGCCUUUGCUGGGUUUAACCUUUGUCUCUGUACAGAUAUUUUGUAAUAUAUGACUUUUUCUUUAGGGUUUUUUUGGGAUUGGUUUUUUUUUUUUUUUUUCCUUUUCAGUUUAUAAAAAUGGAAAGUGGAGAUUGGAAAAUUAAACAUUUCCUGUUGCUGUA
rnacentral:lncRNA from 1 species